GAAAACGUCAAAAAAAAUUAUUUCUCACAUGACCACUGUAGCGAAAUCGCGUCCACGAGGCCACUAUUUCACAAUUUCUUCUUAAAUAGCAUCCUAGUAGAAGCGAUUUCCCACUAUUUAACCAGAAACGUCAACUCGAAAAAAAUUUUUCCUGGACCCCUAACUCCUAAAAAGCCUGCACCCUAAACCCUAAAAGCCAUAAAACCCAAGCGUAAAAAUCAG
rnacentral:lncRNA from 1 species